rnacentral:lncRNA from 1 species
AUAGGCACACAAUUUGCAUCUAUUGAUCUAUAACAUUAAAAUUGGAAGUACAAUACAAGUUUUGCACAUAUUCUACUGGUUUAUGAGUAUUUAGUUUUAGAGGAAAAAAAAACACAUCGUAGCUAGUUUUAAAUAAAUAAACUCCAAACAGCCAGCAGUACAACGCAGGACAGGCUGGGGACACCGGACACUGGCUUACAAACAUAAAGCGCAAACCAAACAGACAUCUAAACACCGUAGAGCACCAUAAAUCAAGAAGAGCUAAAAACAAAUAAAAUAAAAAAUAAAUGUUGUCAACA